GAACACCAGUGGCGAAGGCGGCUCUCUGGACUGUAACUGACGCUGAGGCGCGAAAGCGUGGGUAGCGAACAGGAUUAGAUACCCUGGUAGUCCACGCCGUAAACGAUGAGUGCUAGGUGUUGGGGGUCGAACCUCAGUGCCGCAGUUAACACAUUAAGCACUCCGCCUGGGGAGUACGACCGCAAGGUUGAAACUCAAAGGAAUUGACGGGGGCCCGCACAAGCAGCGGAGCAUGUGGUUUAAUUCGAAGCAACGCGAAGAACCUUACCAGGACUUGACAUCAUCUGACAACCGUAGAGAUACGGCUUUCCCUUCGGGGACAGAUAGACAGGUGGUGCAUGGUUGUCGUCAGCUCGUGUCGUGAGAUGUUGGGUUAAGUCCCGCAACGAGCGCAACCCCUGUAUUUAGUUGCCAUCAGGUCAUGCUGGGCACUCUAGAUAAACUGCCGUAGAUAAUACGGAGGAAGGUGGGGAUGACGUCAAAUCAUCAUGCCCCUUAUGUCCUGGGCUACACACGUGCUACAAUGGUCUGUACAAAGGGUAGCCAAGCCGCAAGGUGGAGCCAAUCCCAUAAAGCAGAUCCCAGUUCGGAUUGCAGGCUGCAACUCGCCUGCAUGAAGUCG
rnacentral:rRNA from 1 species